rnacentral:lncRNA from 12 species
AUGUACCUCAGAAAGGGUUGGACAGAGCAGACUCAGCCUGGGUUAGUUCUUAUUGUUUGGCUUUUUUUCCUAGGAAUUUAUCCUAACUGGUUCAUGGAGGCUCUGGCUUCACUGAUGGCAGCUAGGGAUGAGUUAUCUAAGCAGAGAAUUGCCAAAAUUGGCCACAGCUCAAGUUCACCACUGCUGCCACACCAGGGGAAGCUGCUUUUCCAUCUCUGUGUUCUGGAGGUGAGAGUUUACUUUCUUGGCAGGAAUCCUCCUACCACCUCUUCUUACUUCUUAGCCCCAGAAAAGCAUCCUCAUGCAAAUAAACCCCUAAGAGGAGCCCUGCAUCCACCAACUCAGAUACUUCAUCACCAUACUCGGGUAAGUAAAAAUGAAAACUUUUACUGGUUAUCAUGUUAGUAAAAAUAUUUUCCUGUGGCAUUGGAGUUUUUUUUAAAAGAUUUUAUUUAUCCACCCAUGAGAGACACAGAGAGAGAUUGGCAGAGACAUAGACAGAAGGACAGGCAGGCUCCUCGCUGGGAGCCCCAUGUAGGACUCAGUCCCGGGAGGGGAGAAGAAAUGGGUAGGAAAUAUCAGAAAGGGAAACAGAACAUGGAAGACUCCUAACCCUGGGAAACAAACUAGGGGUGGUAGAAGGGGAGGAGGGUGGGGGGUGGGGGUGACUGGGUGGCGGGCACUGAGGGGGGCACUUGACGGGAUGAGCACUGGGUGUUAUUCUGUAUGUUGGCAAACUGAACACCAAUAAAAAAUACAUUUAUUAUUAAAAAAAUAAAUAA